GGUAGGGCGGUGUUGCCUCACAUGGCGACCGACGCGACCGGCCGGGUUGCAUCGCUGGGCGACGCCACCAGGCGGUACCCGGGGCAGUGGAUCGUCCCCUGUCGAUUCGCCUCCAGUUGCCGGCGAUUCGGGAAUCAAUCCAUAGUUGCAGCGGACCAUUAUAAUGGCAAAUUGGCAAUCGAUGGGCCGCACUCAAUGGUGGCCAAAUAACUGGGCCAUGGUUGACACCCAGGUCGAUAAUUAGUCUCCGCUUCUGGCCUUCUACAAGUGUUCCCUCGUUGGUACCUCUACUCUCCCCAAAAUUCUGCAUGGAUUUUUUUUCAAUUGAUGAUGUUCUUUGUGCUCCCAAAUGAGUGUAGCUUCCAUUGAGUUCCACGGGAUUCACUGGAUUGGCUCAUUCUUCUAUAUUGAGGUCGUCAGAGCGGCGCCUUUGUCUGCGCCUGCCCCCUGCUGUCCUCUUCUCCUUUCUUCCACAAAAGUGCAGCAGGGAGCGUCUUUUCCUCGAGCCAGCGACAAGCUCAUCCCCAGGUCAGUGACGCACUACAUCUCUGAAGCAUUCGUCUGGUUUUCAAGCCAUAUUUGGAGUCCUCGGGCGCGUCGUCGCCAAAUCCUUUUGGUUCGCAGUUUCGCACUGUUGCUGUUGUCGGCAGAAUCUGGGCACAGUAGUGAUGGCGACCAUGUUGGGGUCGGAUCGACGCGACCGAUGGUGUCUCAUGGCCACCGUGCUUCAGGUCCGACCGACACGACGCUCCUUGCUGGGCGACCGAACGGGGUCCUGGUCGGUGAGGCAAUAGGGCGGUGGCCAGGGCCAUGAACAGCCGCUGUCGAUUGAAAUUCACUCGCCAUUGAUUCGUUGAGGUUUUAGUAGGGAUCGAUUAAUGGCAAUUGAUGUGCCGGCUAAACUGAAGAUUAUUGCAGGUCUGACGAUUCAUGUUUUUUUACUUCAAUUCACUCGUGCGCAUAUACGAUCCAAAGUGCUAUUGCUCCUUCCCUACCCCCCUCACUUCUGAAAACCACUCUCGUGCAGCCAUGGGUGAUGGUUCAUUCCUUCAUCUCCUCUGCACCUGAUUCUUCAUCUAAUCCAAUUUUUGAAAUUUAUUUUACUCAUACUGUUCUUUGUACUGACAAACUAUGCAGGUUCUCUAGGUUUACCUUGUGAUACUCUCCUCUCUAAUGCCUCUCGCCUGUUCAAUUCAUGUAGAUUUCUCAAGGUGUUGCACCUUUCUAGAACGACUCCCCUUUGGAUCUAGUGGUUUAGUUUGCUUGAGCAGUCAUGCACAAAUCACUUGUUGGGAGAAGUUCCACAUCGGCUCAUGGAGGCGGCACGGUGGUCAGUCACGUGGACAGUGCGGACCAACAUUUGUUCCUAUGCUCAGCUCCCCGCAAGGAUUCCCUCAGGUAACAACUCGCAACAAUUAGAUCCUAUUCUAGAGCAUUACAAUAUAUUGUACUUUUGAUGACCACUAUUGUUUCCUAAUAGUUGCCAAUCAGAGAUGAAUGAGUUAAUAAAGGGACAUAUAAUGUACAAAUUUAUGCCCACUGUGAGCUGCUUGACAUAUGAUGCCAAAUUUUGUUAUGUUCUUUGGCUAUUGGGAUGUACUAGCUUUUUUAGUAUUCUAGCAUUCCAGUGGACUUUUCACAGUAGCUACUGCUGCUACUUCUGAAGAUUUGUGUGUUCCUUGAUGAUUCAGAGUGAUGCUCCAGGUCAAAGUAAGAUUAGAAAAACCAUUACUUCAUUUCAAAUAAUUCAGGCAAUAUACUCUAGAUGAAAUCCCUUUUGCAAUUGGAAUUUAUAUAUUAUGUAGUUGUUCAGAAAGGGACGUCCUAUAUAUACUCUAAUGUUUUGUAGCGUGCAAUGAGUGGAGAAAUUCACCCAUAGGACAUAAAUGAUUAUGUAUCUUCCGGUUCUCUGCUCGCCGGUGUUUCAUGGUGGCAUGCAGUUGCCACACCUUCACCCCAGCCUGUUGCCUUGUGCCUCGAGUCAUGCAAUCACUCUGACUACAUAGCGUCUGAAUUCAAGUUAAUGUUGUCUUCAUUUGAUGUUAGGAUUAAGAUGGAUUAGUUGGGAUUUGGAAACAUGGCUAUUCCGAGCAAGGUAAUACAUGAGGUUAUUCCCUUUUUAAGCAUCACCGCAAGGAGGGUCUUAAAGCGAAGCUGUUUGUAUCCUUGUAUGGCAGACGCCUUAGGUAGAGCUUCCGGCACUUAGGGUCUGAAACAAUGAUGAAUCACAAGAUGCAUUUACUGGAAAAUAAUGAUGUAGGCAGAGAAUGAGAGGAAACUGAUUUGUGUUUUUGUUGCCUUUUGUUGCUCGGUUCAGUCAGUUCCUUCUAUUCCAUGUAAAAUGGUAAUACAAUUUUUAAGCCCCAAUGAAGAAAAAAUUAUAGUGAUGUUGGAAUUCGUAUAAAGAAAUUAUCUUUUGGCCUAAUUA